rnacentral:rRNA from 1 species
GCGAAACCUCCGCAAUGCGAGCAAUCGCGACGGGGGGACCCCAAGUGCCACUCUUAACGGGGUGGCUUUUCUUAAGUGUAAAAAGCUUUUGGAAUAAGGGCUGGGCAAGACCGGUGCCAGCCGCCGCGGUAACACCGGCAGCCCAAGUGGUGGCCGUUUUUAUUGGGCCUAAAGCGUUCGUAGCCGGCCUGAUAAGUCUCUGGUGAAAUCCCGCAGCUUAACUGUGGGAAUUGCUGGAGAUACUAUCAGGCUUGAGGUCAGGAGAGGUUAGAGGUACUCCCAGGGUAGGGGUGAAAUCCUAUAAUCCUGGGAGGACCACCUGUGGCGAAGGCGUCUAACUGGAACGAACCUGACGGUGAGUAACGAAAGCCAGGGUAGCAAACC